rnacentral:sRNA from 1 species
AGUUGCUCCGGCGGCGCUCGGGGAGGGAGCCAGCAGCCUGGGGCCCAGGCCCGGGCCACCAUGGCGCUGCCUUCGGGCCCAGCCGCCCUCCGGCACACACUGCUGCUCCUGCCAGCCCUUCUGAGCUCAGCUGCAGGAGGCCAACACCUCAAGACUGCUGAGCGUGGGAGGGGAGGCCUUCUCUGGAGGCACCAGCACCUUCACAGUCACAGCCCAUCGGGCUCAGCAUGAGCUCAACUGCUCCCUGCAGGACCCCAGCAGUGGCCGAUCAGCCAACGCCUCUGUCAUCCUCAAUGUGCAAUGUGAGUGGCCCUGAGGUGGGCAGGGAGAGAGGUUCUCUGCCCAGGGACCCCCAGCACCCACCAGGCAGGUGGUCCGCAGGACAUUUAGCAGACACUGCAGCACUUUGCAAAUAUGAACUCAUUUUAUCCUCUGAGUAAUCCCAUGAGGUCAUUACUAUUGUUGUCACCAUUUUACAAAUAAGAAAACUGAGGCAGAAAGAGGUAAGCAAUCUGCCCAGGGCGAUGAUCCCACUGGUAAGAAGCAGAGCCAGGAUUCACAUCUGGGCAUUUGGCUCUAGUAUUUACACUCAUAAUCACUGUGAAAUGCUGCCUCUCUGGCAGACCAGCCAUCCUGUUCCUCAGCAUCCCCUCUGAGGAGAGGCCCAGGUCCCUGGCUCCCAUCUGGGUUUGGGAAGAAAGGGCUAGAAGUAUGAGGGGCUGUGGUGAGAGCAUAUUGGCCUCUGCUUUGCACCAGUCAAGCCAGAGAUUGCCCAAGUCGGUGCCAAGUACCAGGAAGCUCAGGGCCCAGGCCUCCUGGUUGUCCUGUUUGCCCUGGUGCGUGCCAACCCGCCUGCCAAUGUCACCUGGAUCGACCAGGAUGGGCCAGUGACUGUCAACACCUCUGACUUCCUGGUGCUGGAUGCGCAGAACUACCCCUGGCUCACCAACCAUACGGUGCAGCUGCAGCUCCGCAGCCUGGCACACAAUCUCUCGGUGGUGGCCACCAAUGACGUGGGUGUCACCAGUGCCUCGCUUCCAGCCCCAGGUGAGCAUGGCCAGCAAGUGGCCCAGCAAAGCCUCAGAUGGGCUCAGGGGUCCUGUCCCCAUACAGAAAUGGGAAUACUUGUUGCCCUGUGGUUGGGUCUUGUGGAUGAACUGUCCCCAGCCACCCUGGGCAAGGAGGGCAGAGUAGUACCUAUGGCAUGUUGGGGCUGGGGCACUACCCACUUGGGACCUGACACAGAGGACAUCCUCCAGGGCUUCUGGCUACCCGGGUGGAAGUGCCACUGCUGGGCAUUGUUGUGGCUGCUGGGCUUGCCCUGGGCACCCUCGUGGGGUUCAGCACCUUGGUGGCCUGCCUGGUCUGCAGAAAAGAGAAGAAAACCAAAGGUAGGCCAGGGACACUGGGGGCAGUGUGGAUGAGGUCAGGCUGAGCAGCAGCCAGGACAGCAAGUGCAGCUGGGCAGAACCAGUCAUCUCUGACGGUGGCAGAGCACUUCCAGGGGGUGGCCAUGGGUAGGGUGCCAUGCAUCCCAGGUAGCAGGGUCAAGCACUGGGAACCCAGUCUCUGGCCCCAGGGCCAGGCCUGGGCAUUUGAGAGACCCCUUGCCUGAGGGUCCUGGGUCUGAAAGGGUAGGAGGAGAGCCCAGCGUGGGAGGGCACAUUGAGAAUUAGGGACAUGGUUUCUUUUUCCGCAGGCCCCUCCCGGCGCCCAUCUCUGAUAUCAAGUGACUCCAACAACCUAAAACUCAACAACGUGCGCCUGCCACGGGAGAACAUGUCCCUACCGUCCAACCUUCAGCUCAAUGACCUCACUCCAGAUUCCAGAGCAGUGAAACCAGCAGACCGGCAGAUGGCUCAGAACAACAGCCGGCCAGAGCUUCUGGACCCAGAGCCCGGCGGCCUCCUCACCAGCCGAGGUUUCAUCCGCCUCCCAAUGCUGGGCUAUAUCUAUCGAGUGUCCAGCGUGAGCAGUGAUGAGAUCUGGCUCUGAGCUGAGGGCGAGACAGGAGUAUUCUCUUGGCCUCUGGACACCCUCCCAUUCCUCCAAGGCAUCCUCUGCCUAGCUACAUCACCAACGCGAAGAAGUUAUGCCACUGCCAGUUUUGCUUGCCCUCCUGGCUGGGGUGCCCUCUAUGUCAUGCACAUGAUGCAUUUCACUGGGCUGUAACCCGCAGGGGCACAGGUAUCUUUGGCAAGGCUACCAGUUGGACCUAAGCCCCUCAUGCUGACUCAGGGUGGGCCCUGCAUGCGAUGACUAGGCCCUUCCAGAGGGAGCUCUUUGGCCAGGGGUGUUCAGAUGUCAUCCAGCAUCCAAGUGUGGCAUGGCCUGCUGUAUGCCCCACCCCAGUACUCCACAGCACCUUGUACAGUAGGCAUGGGGGCGUGCCUGUGUGGGGGACAGGGAGGGCCCUGCAUGGAUUUUCCUCCUUCCUAUGCUAUGUAGCCUUGUUCCCUCAGGUAAAAUUUAGGACCCUGCUAGCUGUGUAGAACCAAAUUGCCCUUUGCACAGGAACCAACCCCUGACCCAGGGGUACUGGCCAAGCACAAACUAGUCCUUUUUGCUACACACCUCUCUGCCCUUCACUUCUUCUCUUCUGUCCCCACCUCCUCUUGGGAAUUCUAGGUUACAUGUUGGACCUUCUCUACUACUUCACUGGGCACUAGACUUUUCUAUUGGCCUGUGCCAUCACCCAGUAUUAGCACAAGUCAGGGAGGAAGAGGCAGGCGAUGAGUGUAGUAGCACCCAGGACGGCUUGUAGCUAUGCAUCAUUUUCCUACGGUGUUAGCACUUUAAGCACAUCCCCUAGGGGAGGGGGUGAGUGAGGGGCCCAGAGCCCUCUUUGUGGCCUCCCCAAGUUUGGCCUUCUGUGAUUCACUGUGAGUGUCCUGAGCUCUCGGGGUUGAUGGUUUUCCUCUCAGCAUGUCUCCUCCACCACGGGACCCCAGCCCUGACCAACCCAUGGUUGCUUCAUGAGCAGGAAGGUGCCCUUCCCGGAGGAUGGUCACCACAGGCACAUAAUUCAACAGUGUGGAAGCUUUAGGGGGACAUGGAGAAAGGAGGAGACCACAUACCCCAAAACAACCUAAGAACGCUUUAAAAAGCAACAUGUAAAUGAUUGGAAAUUAAUAUAGUACAGAAUAUAUUUUUCCCUUGUUGAGAUCUUUUGUAAUGUUUUUCAUGUUACUGCCUAGGACAGUGCUGAGCACACAGUAAGUUUAAUAAACUUGACUGAGUUA